rnacentral:tRNA from 1 species
UCCCUGGUAGCCUAGCAGGUUAAGGGUCUGGUGUUGUCACUGCUGAGGCUCAGGUUCUAUUCCUGGCCUGGGAA